rnacentral:rRNA from 1 species
CCUAGCUGUGUUGGCUUUCUAACCCGCACCACUUAUCGUGGUGGGAGACAGUGUCAGGCGGGCAGUUUGACUGGGGCGGUCGCCUCCUAAAAGGUAACGGAGGCGCUCAAAGGUUCCCUCAGAAUGGGUGGAAAUCAUUCAUAGAGUGUAAAGGCAUAAGGGAGCUUGACUGCGAGACCUACAAGUCGAGCAGGGUCGAAAGACGGACUUAGUGAUCCGGUGGUUCCGCAUGGAAGGGCCAUCGCUCAACGGAUA